rnacentral:rRNA from 1 species
UCGGGAAUUUUGCGCAAUGGACGAAAGUCUGACGCAGCAACGCCGCGUGAGUGAUGAAGGUCUUCGGAUUGUAAAGCUCUGUUGAGUGGGAAGAAAAGUUUCGGGCAUAAUACCUCGGAACCUGACGGUACCAUUCGAGGAAGCCCCGGCUAACUACGUGCCAGCAGCCGCGGUAAUACGUAGGGGGCAAGCGUUGUUCGGAAUCACUGGGCGUAAAGGGAGAGUAGGCGGGAAAAUAAGUUAGGAGUUUAAUGUCCGGGCUUAACCCGGAAUCUGCUUCUAAUACUGUUUUUCUUGAGUAUUGGAGAGGGAGAUGGAAUUCCAGGUGUAGCGGUGGAAUGCGUAGAUAUCUGGAAGAACACCAGCUGCGAAGGCGGUCUCCUGGCCAAAUACUGACGCUGAUGCUCGAAAGCUAGGGGAGCAAACAGG